UUAUCUUUAUCCCCUCCCCCUCUCUUUUAUUCCCUGCUGCCAGAAAACAGGGGAGAAGAAAAGAAAAGAGAAAAGAAAGAGAGAAAGAGAGAAGUAGAGAAAGAGAAGAAGAAGAAGAUGAUGAAGAAGAAGUUGAUGAAGAUGAUUUGGAGAUAAGAGUGUCUAGGCGUAUAUGAGAGUCGCGAUUCACGCCUAGCUAGUGGCAAUUGAAGUAAUUUCGGAAAACCGCGAGAAGAGUCGCGCGCAGCUUUUCUUUUAUCGGCGACAACAUAGCAAGUCGAGGUGGGUUCCGAACCGCCGAAAACGGCGAAUUUCACCCUAUGUCUAUUUCGGUACCUCUUCGUCAUGGGCAACGACAACACCGAGUCGUGUUGGGCCAUCUUCAAUUGGGUCUGAUUUACCUUCAUCCCCUUCUGAUACAACAGGUAAGAUAAUCGCAUUUUGUGAGGUGUAUUAUUUUAUUUUGUUUGUCAGCUAUCAAAAAAUAUUAGUGACGGUUUGUUAGCUAUGGAAAAACAUUAUGUUGCUAUUACUCUGUAAUGAUUCUGUGAUAAUUCCAGUGAUCUUUAUAUAAGAAGAGAAGGUGUACCUUUCUAGCUAAAGGGUUCUCUUUUUUUGUUUUUUUUUGGGGAUUCUUUCCACCCUGGCUACCUCUGAUAUGAACUCAGGAAUCUCUCAAACUCGAAAGCUAGUUUAUCAAAGAAUAUAAUAAUUUAGUAGUCAUUGCUUA